rnacentral:rRNA from 1 species
UACAGAGGGUGCGAGCGUUAAUCGGAAUUACUGGGCGUAAAGCGCACGUAGGCGGCUUGGUAUGUCGGGUGUGAAAUCCCCGGGCUCAACCUGGGAACUGCAUCCGAAACUGCCUUGCUCGAGUAUGGGAGAGGGAAGUGGAAUUUCCGGUGUAGCGGUGAAAUGCGUAGAUAUUAGGAGGAACACCGGUGGCGAAGGCGGCUACCUGGACCGAUAUUGACGCUGAGACGCGAAAGCGUGGGGAGCAAACAGG